CCGCCGCAGCCUCGGAAAUGCAAUUGUCCGCCGAGGUGCUGAGAGUCGGGGCCCUGCGGGAGGUUUGGUGAAAGCAGGCGCGCGGGAGCCAGCGGCGCGGGGCCCGGGAGGGGCUCGGGGCCCGGAGAGGCAGCGGCCCGGCGGUCUGGAAGGGCACGCAGCGGGGAGAGAUCUGUACAAACUCUUGCCUAGAGGGGCAAAGCAUUUGAUCGAGGGGACAACAUAAGUUUUCGCAGGAAUCAUAGAAGCACAGAAUUGCAGAGCUGGGAAUGACCUCAAAGGUUAAUCAAUUCCAUCCUCUACCUGAGCAGGAAUUUUGGACAAAUGCUUAUCGGCCUCUGCUUGAAGACAGUUCGUGAAUAAUAACUCAUUGCUUGCUGAGGUAGACCAUUGCACUUUCAGACACCUCUCAUUGUUCCAAACAUCAGACCUAAAUUUGCCUUUCUGCAACUUCCCACUUAGUUCUGUCCUUUGAGGACAAAUAUAACAAAUCUGACCCUUUUUUCACAUGACAGACCUUCAGACACUGAAGAUGGCUCCCCUAAACCUUCUCUUUUCCAAGCUAAGCAUCCUCAGCUGGCCCUCAUGUGUCAUGGUUCCCAGUCACCUUACCAUUUUGGUGCCUUUCUCCCGACCACCCUCCUUUUUGAUACGGUCCUUUCUAAAGUGUCAUAACCAGACCUGGAGACAGUACCCAGGAUAGGGUCUGAUCAAAGCUGAGUACAAGGCAACUCAGUGGCACAAUGGAUAGAGUGAUGGCUUGAAGUCAGGAAGAGUUAUCUUCCUGA